ACUCCUACGGGAGGCAGUAGUGGGGAAUAUUGCACAAUGGGGGGAAACCCCUGAUGCAGCCAUGCCGCGUGUGUGAAGAAGGCCUUCGGGUUGUAAAGCACUUUCAGUAGGGAGGAAGGUAGUGUAGUUAACACCUGCAUUAUUUGACGUUACCUACAGAAGAAGCACCGGCUAACUCCGUGCCAGCAGCCGCGGUAAUACGGAGGGUGCGAGCGUUAAUCGGAAUUACUGGGCGUAAAGCGCAUGCAGGCGGCCUGUUAAGUCAGAUGUGAAAGCCCGGGGCUUAACCUCGGAAUUGCAUUUGAAACUGGCAGGCUAGAGUCUUGUAGAGGGGGGUAGAAUUUCAGGUGUAGCGGUGAAAUGCGUAGAGAUCUGAAGGAAUACCAGUGGCGAAGGCGGCCCCCUGGACAAAGACUGACACUCAGAUGCGAAAGC
rnacentral:rRNA from 1 species